rnacentral:ncRNA from 1 species
AAAUUGAAGAGUUUGAUCAUGGCUCAGAUUGAACGCUGGCGGCAGGCCUAACACAUGCAAGUCGAGCGGUAGCACAGAGAGCUUGCUCUCGGGUGACGAGCGGCGGACGGGUGAGUAAUGUCUGGGAAACUGCCUGAUGGAGGGGGAUAACUACUGGAAACGGUAGCUAAUACCGCAUAACGUCGCAAGACCAAAGUGGGGGACCUUCGGGCCUCAUGCCAUCAGAUGUGCCCAGAUGGGAUUAGCUAGUAGGUGGGGUAACGGCUCACCUAGGCGACGAUCCCUAGCUGGUCUUAGAGGAUGACCAGCCACACUGGAACUGAGACACGGUCCAGACUCCUACGGGAGGCAGCAGUGGGGAAUAUUGCACAAUGGGCGCAAGCCUGAUGCAGCCAUGCCGCGUGUGUGAAGAAGGCCUUCGGGUUGUAAAGCACUUUCAGCGGGGAGGAAGGCGUUAAGGUUAAUAACCUUGGCGAUUGACGUUACCCGCAGAAGAAGCACCGGCUAACUCCGUGCCAGCAGCCGCGGUAAUACGGAGGGUGCAAGCGUUAAUCGGAAUUACUGGGCGUAAAGCGCACGCAGGCGGUCUGUCAAGUCGGAUGUGAAAUCCCCGGGCUCAACCUGGGAACUGCAUUCGAAACUGGCAGGCUAGAGUCUUGUAGAGGGGGGUAGAAUUCCAGGUGUAGCGGUGAAAUGCGUAGAGAUCUGGAGGAAUACCGGUGGCGAAGGCGGCCCCCUGGACAAAGACUGACGCUCAGGUGCGAAAGCGUGGGGAGCAAACAGGAUUAGAUACCCUGGUAGUCCACGCCGUAAACGAUGUCGAUUUGGAGGUUGUGCCCUUGAGGCGUGGCUUCCGGAGCUAACGCGUUAAAUCGACCGCCUGGGGAGUACGGCCGCAAGGUUAAAACUCAAAUGAAUUGACGGGGGCCCGCACAAGCGGUGGAGCAUGUGGUUUAAUUCGAUGCAACGCGAAGAACCUUACCUGGUCUUGACAUCCACAGAACUUUCCAGAGAUGGAUUGGUGCCUUCGGGAACUGUGAGACAGGUGCUGCAUGGCUGUCGUCAGCUCGUGUUGUGAAAUGUUGGGUUAAGUCCCGCAACGAGCGCAACCCUUAUCCUUUGUUGCCAGCGGUCCGGCCGGGAACUCAAAGGAGACUGCCAGUGAUAAACUGGACUCCAGUUUA